UACGUAGGUGGCAAGCGUUGUCCGGAAUUAUUGGGCGUAAAGGGCUCGCAGGCGGUUCCUUAAGUCUGAUGUGAAAGCCCCCGGCUCAACCGGGGAGGGUCAUUGGAAACUGGAAGACUGGAGUGCAGAAGAGGAGAGUGGAAUUCCACGUGUAGCGGUGAAAUGCGUAGAUAUGUGGAGGAACACCAGUGGCGAAGGCGACUCUCUGGUCUGUAACUGACGCUGAGGCGCGAAAGCGUGGGGAGCAAACAGG
rnacentral:rRNA from 1 species